rnacentral:rRNA from 1 species
AGUUUGAUCCUGGCUCAGAAUCAACGCUGGCGGCGUGCCUAACACAUGCAAGUCGAACGCGAAAGGGGCUUCGGCCCUGAGUAGAGUGGCGAACGGGUGGGUAACACGUGGGUGAUCUACCUUCGAGUGGGGGAUAACGUUCCGAAAGGAGCGCUAAUACCGCAUGACGUUCUGGGUUUGAAGACCUGGAAACCAAAGUCGGGGACCGCAAGGCCUGACGCUUGGAGAGGAGCCCGCGCCUGAUUAGCUAGUUGGUGAGGUAACGGCUCACCAAGGCGACGAUCAGUAGCCGGCCUGAGAGGGCGGACGGCCACACUGGGACUGAGACACGGCCCAGACUCCUACGGGAGGCAGCAGUGGGGAAUUGUUCGCAAUGGGCGCAAGCCUGACGACGCAACGCCGCGUGGAGGAUGAAGGUCUUCGGAUUGUAAACUCCUGUUGACCGGGAAGAACGGGUCGCGAGCGAAUAGCUCGAGGCAGUGACGGUACCGGUUGAGGAAGCCACGGCUAACUCUGUGCCAGCAGCCGCGGUAAUACAGAGGUGGCAAGCGUUGUUCGGAAUUACUGGGCGUAAAGGGCGCGUAGGCGGCCUUCUUAGUCGGACGUGAAAUCCCCAGGCUCAACUUGGGAACUGCGUCCGAUACUGGAUGGCUUGAGUGCGGGAGAGGGAUGUGGAAAUUCCAGGUGUAGCGGUGAAAUGCGUAGAUAUCUGGAGGAACACCGGUGGCGAAGGCGGCAUCCUGGACCGACACUGACGCUGAGGCGCGAAAGCUAGGGGAGCA